UACGUAGGGGCUAGCGUUAUCCAGAAUUACUGGGCGUAAAGGGUGCGUAGGUGGUUUCUUAAGUCAGAGGUGAAAGGCUACGGCUCAACCGUAGUAAGCCUUUGAAACUGGGAAACUUGAGUGCAGGAGAGGAGAGUGGAAUUCCUAGUGUAGCGGUGAAAUGCGUAGAUAUUAGGAGGAACACCAGUUGCGAAGGCGGCUCUCUGGACUGUAACUGGCACUGAGGCACGAAAGCGUGGGGAGCAAACAGGAUUAGAUACCCUGGUAGUCCCUGA
rnacentral:rRNA from 1 species